rnacentral:rRNA from 1 species
AUUUAACGCUGGCGGCAUGCCUCACACAUGCAAGUCGAAAGGCAGCACGGGAGCAAUCCUGGUGGCGAGUGGCGAACGGGUGAGUAAUACAUCGGAACGUGCCCAGUCGUGGGGGAUAACUACUCGAAAGAGUGGCUAAUACCGCAUACGACCUGAGGGUGAAAGCGGGGGAUCGCAAGACCUCGCGCGAUUGGAGCGGCCGAUGUAAGAUUAGCUAGUUGGUGAGGUAAUGGCUCACCAAGGCGACCAACCCUAGCUGGUUUGAGAGGAUGGUAAGCCACACUAGGACAGAAACACGGGCCAGACUCCUACGGGAGGCAGGAGUGGUGAAAAUUGGAAGACGGGCGCUAGCGUGAUCCAGCCGUGCCGCGGGUGUGAAGAAGGCCUUCUGAUUGUAAAGCAGUUUCAGUAGGGAGGAAGCGUUGUGAGUUAAUAGUACACAGCGUUGACGUUACCUACAGAAGAAGCACCGGUUAACUCUGUGCCAGCCGCCGCCGUAACAC